rnacentral:rRNA from 1 species
AAUCAACGCUGGCGGCAGGCUUAACACAUGCAAGUCGAACGCCCCCUCCGGGGGGAGUGGCAGACGGGUGAGUAACGCGUGGGAACGUGCCCUUCGGUUCGGGAUAACCCAGGGAAACUUGGGCUAAUACCGGAUACGCCCUUACGGGGAAAGAUUUAUCGCUGAAGGAUCGGCCCGCGUCUGAUUAGCUGGUUGGUGAGGUAACGGCUCACCAAGGCGACGAUCAGUAGCUGGUCUGAGAGGAUGAUCAGCCACACUGGGACUGAGACACGGCCCAGACUCCUACGGGAGGCAGCAGUGGGGAAUAUUGGACAAUGGGCGCAAGCCUGAUCCAGCCAUGCCGCGUGAGUGAUGACGGCCUUAGGGUUGUAAAGCUCUUUCGGCGGGGACGAUAAUGACGGUACCCGCAGAAGAAGCCCCGGCUAACUUCGUGCCAGCCGCCGCAGUAAAAC